GCUUAACACAUGCAAGUCGAACGCGAAAGGGACUUACGGUCCUGAGUAAAGUGGCGCACGGGUGAGUAACGCGUAGAUAACCUGUCUUCGAUGUCUGGAAUAAUACGCCGAAAGGGGUACUAAUACCGGAUAUUCUUGCUUUUCAUAAGUUAUGCAAGCAAAGGUGGCCUCUGCAUAUGCUACUGCAUGAAGAGGGGUCUGCGUACCAUUAGCUAGUAGGUGGGGUAAUGGCCUACCUAGGCGACGAUGGUUAGCGGGUCUGAGAGGAUGAUCCGCCACACUGGCACUGGAACACGGGCCAGACUCCUACGGGAGGCAGCAGUGAGGAAUAUUGCGCAAUGGGGGAAACCCUGACGCAGCGACGCCGCGUGAAGUGAGGAAGGCCUUCGGGUCGUAAAGCUCUGUCAAGAGGAAAGAAGUGUACAAUGGCUAAUACCUGUUGUAUUUGACGGUACCUCUAAAGGAAGCACCGGCUAACUCCGUGCCAGCCGCUGC
rnacentral:rRNA from 1 species